rnacentral:rRNA from 1 species
UCGAGAAUCUUCCGCAAUGGGCGCAAGCCUGACGGAGCGAUGUCGCGUGGUUGAUGAAGUCUUUCGGGAUGUAAAGACCUUUUAUGAGGGAGAAGGUUAUUGAUAGUACCUCAUGAAUAAGGGGUUGCUAAACUCGUGCCAGCAGCAGCGGUAAUACGAGUGCCCCAAGCGUUAUCCGGAAUUAUUGGGUGUAAAGGGUGUGUAGGUGGUCUUAUUAGUCUAAUGUUAAAGAUCUGGGCUUAACCCAGGGAAAGCAUUGGAAACGGUAAGACUAGAGGAUGCGAGAGGUGUGUAGAACUCAUAGUGUAGGGGUGAAAUCCGUUGAUAUUAUGGGGAAUACCAAAAGCGAAGGCAGCACACUGGCGCAUAUCUGACACUGAAACACGAAAGCGUAGGUAGC